rnacentral:rRNA from 1 species
GGCUUGAGCUGUUCCCUUAAGUGGGGAAACGAACGCAACCCUCGUUGCCUGUUAUAAGUGUCAGGCGAGACUGCUCCCUCACGGGAGAGGAAGGUGAGGAUGACGCCAGGUCAGCAUGUCCCUUGAUGCCUUGGGCUGCACACGUGAUACAAUGGGUGGUACAACGGGACGCAAUACAGUAAUGUGGAGCAAAUCCUUAUAAAACCAUCCCCAGUUCGGAUUGAGGGCUGCAACUCGCCCUCAUGAAGUCGGAAUCGCUAGUAAUCGCGGAUCAGCAACGCCGCGGUGAAUACGUUCCCGAGCCUUGUACUCACCGCCCGUCAAGUCAGGGGAGUCGGGAGUGCCCGAAGUCCCACCUAGAGUGGGCCGACGGUAAACUCGAUAACAAGGACUAAGUCGUAACAAGGCACGGCUAGCGGAAGCUGGUCGUGGAUUAAUUCCAAU